AACGCACAUUGCGCCCCUCGGUAUUCCGUGGGGCAUGCCUGUUCGAGCGUCAUUUGAAACUCAAGCUAUGCUUGGUGUUGGGCGUCUGUCCGUAAGGACUCGCCCCAAAGGCAUUGGCAGCCCCGAGCUGACGUCGCGCCUUCGCAGCACAUUUGCGAGAGGAUGCGGUUGCUCGAGGCUUUCCAUGAAGACCACCCAUCACGUUUGACCUCGGAUCAGGUAGGGAUACCCGCUGAACUUAA
rnacentral:misc_RNA from 1 species